GUUUAUUUAUUUUUGACAGAGAGACAGAGUGUGAGGGGGGGAGGGGCAGAGAGAGAGGGAGACACAGAAUCCGAAGCAGGCCCCAGGCUCCAAGCUGGGGCUCGAACUCACAGACCGCGAGAUCAUGACCUGAGCCAAAGUCAGACGUUCAACCGACUGAGCCACCCAGGUUUUAUCUGGAAGGAUUCACACCAAUAUGUUGCCUAUGGAGUCUCCAGGAUGUGGAUCAACAGCAUGAAUACGCUUGUUGCUUUAUAAGCAUGUUCCUACAGGCAUUCUCUGUUUUAUUGCACUUCACAGAUAUUGUGCUUUUUACCAGUUGAAGGUUGGUAGCAACCUGCAUCGAGCAAAUCUAUUUGCACCAUUUUCCUGACAGCAUUUCCUCACUUUGUGUCUCUGUGUCACCUUUUGGCAAUUCUCGCAAUAGUUCAAACUUUUCCGUCAUUAUUGCAUUUGUUACAACGCUGAUCUGUGAUCAGUGAUUACAGCUCAGUGAAAGCUCAGAUGAUAGUAUGUUUUAGCAAUAAAAUGUUUUUGAAUUGA